rnacentral:rRNA from 1 species
CCGCCCGUCACACCAUGGAAGUGUAUUGCACCAGAAGCAGGUAGCCUGACCGCCAAGGAGGGCGCCUACCACGGUGUCGGUCCAUGACUGGGUG